CCUGUUCCUGACCACAGCUCUCAUCCCACGGGCUGGCUGCAGGAAGGAAAACAACCGGAGCUUCCCAGAGGAGCUGUUUGCAGACAAUGCCGCAGAGCCGCUUCCCCGCACCGCUCCCUGUACCGAGCGAAUGUAAGGGCAGCCUCAAGCCAGAGGGCUGGGAUAAAAGUUGGAUUUCUCGCUGUCCAGAGAAUGCUGCAGCUGCACACUGGCACGGACUUUGCUCCUCUGGGCUGGGAUUUCUAAGCAGCGGGAGGCUUUCCACGUGUGUUUGAGAAGGUACAAAGCCUGCCGGAAAACAAUGGAAAUAGCUGCCUUAUGACUGCUGCGUGUCACGCACUCGGUUCUUGCCCGCUCGUUUGUCCUUGGAGCUGCUCGCGCCGCCUGGAACCUGAUCCCGAGCGGUGCCGGGCGCCGGGGCUGGCACGAACACCGGCACGGUGCCACGGGCACAGACACGGCCGUGCUCCGGCCCGGCCGCGGCUCGAGGCCUCGGGCAGCGCUGACCGACCCCCUCAGCCCCCGGAGCCACCGCGGAUGUGUGGAGCGGGCGGUGGGCUCCGUGAGGAGUGGGGGCUUCCUGCCGGGAGGAAACAGCUGCUUCAGAGCCGAGUGCUUCUCCUGUGCUCUGCUUCCCUCGGAGUUCUGGCCUGGGAGCAUCCCUGCUGGCUCAGCACGGCUCUGCCAGGUUCUCCACACCUCCAGGACAGGAUCUCCCCCGAUCCCCUCGGACAGGCUCCCUCUGUGCAACCCUCCCACAGACCUCAAAGACAGAUCUCCUUUAUUUCCCCUAAGAUAGCCUCCCCUCAGCGCCCCAGUACUGGAUCUUCUCAUCCACAGGCUCCCCUUUGUCCAAUCUCUUUCAGGUCCCCAAGCACAGGCUCGCCUCCAUCUCCACAGGACUGGAUCCCCUCCAGGACAGGCUCCUCUCAGCGCCGCCAAUACCUGGAUCCCCUCAGACCCCCCAAACACGGGAUCCCCAAGACCGGAUCCCUUCAGCUCCCUCUGGCCAAGCCCCCUCCAGCCCCUCCUCAGCGGGCGCAGCCAGGGUGGGGAGGGCCGGGAUGCAGCAGCCUCCAUUCCCCCGUCCAUCCCUCCCUCCCUCCCUGCCUGCCUGCUGCGUGCUGCAGCCCGCCUUCCCCCCGGCCUGCCGCGCUCCCCCCGCUCGCCGCCCGCGGUGAUCCGCGCUGAGCUCACGGCCGCGCCUCACGACACCCCGGCUCGGCACGUCAGCCCCGCCAUCGCGUGAGAGCCGCCGCCCGCCGCCGCCCCCCCGCCCGCCGCCAUCACGCACGGCGGGAACAGCUGCCGGCACGGCGCGGCCAGACCCCGCUCCCAGACCCCGCUCCCAGCCAAGGCGGGCUCUCGCCAGCUCCUAUUAAUGCAAGAUCUUAAUUAAUGACCCCCGCGGGGGGCGAGCCGCCCUUCACACGCAACACGCACUCCCCCCCGUUCGCCCGCGCCCGGCGUGGAAGCACGAAGAGGUUAAAAUGGAGGCGGGGGCGUGAGGCGGCUGCCAAGGCGGGAUUAGCGCGGCUCGGAGCUCGGCACGCAACGCGGGACGGGGCACGGCGGCCACACGCGAGGGACCCGCGGUGACGCGCGUGGCACCGCCGUGCAGAGCUGAGGGGGAACGCAGGGCGCCGGGAGCCCGAACCAGCGCACAGUGCCCUCCGUCUCCCCCCCGGUUUAGCAUCCCUCUGUUGAGACAGCACUUACUCACCCUUUCUUCCUUUUCCCCCCCUUACUGAUGCAAUUUUCCUUUUUUUCCCAAUAAAGCUUUUAUUUCUGUCCCCUAAAAUUCACCGCUUUCUUCAA